rnacentral:rRNA from 1 species
UGCAGUCGAGCGAACAGAUAGGAGCUUGCUCCUUUGAAGUUAGCGGCGGACGGGUGAGUAACACGUGGGUAACCUACCUAUAAGACUGGGAUAACUUCGGGAAACCGGAGCUAAUACCGGAUAACAUUUAGAACCGCAUGGUUCUAAAGUGAAAGAUGGUUUUGCUAUCACUUAUAGAUGGACCCGCGCCGUAUUAGCUAGUUGGUAAGGUAACGGCUUACCAAGGCGACGAUACGUAGCCGACCUGAGAGGGUGAUCGGCCACACUGGAACUGAGACACGGUCCAGACUCCUACGGGAGGCAGCAGUAGGGAAUCUUCCGCAAUGGGCGAAAGCCUGACGGAGCAACGCCGCGUGAGUGAUGAAGGGUUUCGGCUCGUAAAACUCUGUUAUUAGGGAAGAACAAAUGUGUAAGUAACUGUGCACAUCUUGACGGUACCUAAUCAGAAAGCCACGGCUAACUACGUGCCAGCAGCCGCGGUAAUACGUAGGUGGCAAGCGUUAUCCGGAAUUAUUGGGCGUAAAGCGCGCGUAGGCGGUUUCUUAAGUCUGAUGUGAAAGCCCACGGCUCAACCGUGGAGGGUCAUUGGAAACUGGGAAACUUGAGUGCAGAAGAGGAAAGUGGAAUUCCAUGUGUAGCGGUGAAAUGCGCAGAGAUAUGGAGGAACACCAGUGGCGAAGGCGACUUUCUGGUCUGUAACUGACGCUGAUGUGCGAAAGCGUGGGAUCAAACAGGAUUAGAUACCCUGGUAGUCCACGCCGUAACGAUGAGUGCUAAGUGUUA